ensembl:lncRNA
GGAACGGAUUAAUUGAGCCCUCUCUUUUAGAACUGUAUUUAUUAAAAAUUCAAGGUGGAGAACAUAUGAGGAAACCAAUAACCAAUGUGUAUAGAAUCAUUGCUUCAAUGACAAAAGAUAAUUCUUGUUAUGUGAAGGACAAGUUGAUUAGAGAGCUACAGCUCGAAAUAAGUGAAGAAGUAUGGUUGGAGAUAUGUACUCAGGCUCACAAAGUCACGAACGCCAAUUUGUGGAAAGAAUUUCAAUGGAGGAUAAAUAACCGAUUUUUUAGAACACCACAAGUUUUGCCUAAAAUGAAUCCGAAUCAACCCAGUAAAUGCUGGAGGGAGUGUGGAGAGACGAUGGCUACUGUGACGACCCUGGUGAGUCUUUGACUCCACCCUUUGCUUUGACUCCACCCUUUGCUUUGACUCCACCCUGGCUGUUUGGUUUGCCUGUUUUCCCUCUCUCUUAAUAGGUGAUGCAGUUCAGGUGUGCCGGGUUUGGCAGCAAGUUAAAAGCCUGCAGUCGCAACAGUCAAGGGCGCUCCCUCCUCCCGGCGUGUUGGUUUUCGUUGUCCUUUGUUUGGUUACACAUAGACUGACUUUGCUUGACACUUUUGGGUUACUUACAUUUAACUGAUUUACACCACACUUCUUUAUCUUUAAUUAAUUUCAUUCUCUGUAAAAUUAUCUUACUUUAAUAAAUUCUUUAUUAUUGUAAAACGGCGUGGUCUCCCCCAUUUCAUGUUCAUGCUAGAGCCAGCAUGUGACAUAUGGGGGCUCGUCCGGGAUCGAUUUUCCAAAAUUUGGUAAGGUAACUUAAUUGAAGUACGCUUGGUUUUGACUUGGCUGUAUAGUUGAAUUGGCUUUUGGAUUGUACUGACGGGAAUAAAUUGCCUGUGCAGUCAAAUUAUCAGAAAAUGGGGAGACACACGUUAACUUUGUAUUUGGUAAAUGAUAAUUUAGUGUUUUGGAUUUCGUUGUUAAUUUGGUUUGAUAGUGGUUUGCUUUGGUUGAUUUGCCGAGGAGGAGGAGUGCCAUUCUGGAGGCUACCUGCGGUUUCUGACGUUUGCGUUGCAGAUUACUUUUCCAGGGCCCGGAAUUGCUGUGGGUCAGGAGGUCGGGUGACGUGAGGAGUGGUGAAAGUGUGUGUAUGGGGGGGGGUUUCUAGUUGAUCCGGUAGGAGUGUUGAUGUAACUGGUGUUGGUUGAGGGGAUUGGUAGGGCUUAUGUGUUUUGGGGUUUGUUAUUUUUGAUACCAUAAGUGCAGAAUCCCACUUGGGUGGGCUUCUGUCUUAAGGGGGGGGGAUGUGACGACCCUGGUGAGUCUUUGACUCCACCCUUUGCUUUGACUCCACCCUUUGCUUUGACUCCACCCUGGCUGUUUGGUUUGCCUGUUUUCCCUCUCUCUUAAUAGGUGAUGCAGUUCAGGUGUGCCGGGUUUGGCAGCAAGUUAAAAGCCUGCAGUCGCAACAGUCAAGGGCGCUCCCUCCUCCCGGCGUGUUGGUUUUCGUUGUCCUUUGUUUGGUUACACAUAGACUGACUUUGCUUGACACUUUUGGGUUACUUACAUUUAACUGAUUUACACCACACUUCUUUAUCUUUAAUUAAUUUCAUUCUCUGUAAAAUUAUCUUACUUUAAUAAAUUCUUUAUUAUUGUAAAACGGCGUGGUCUCCCCCAUUUCAUGUUCAUGCUAGAGCCAGCAUGUGACACUACUCAUUCACAUAUUUUUUGGCAAUGCCCAUUGUUAGAUAACUUUUGGAAAUCCGUAUUUGCCUAUAUCAAUAAAGUAUUGAAUGUUGAAUUGAUGAGAGACCCUCUGGUAGCAAUUCUAGGAAUUAAACCAGUUGUGAUACACAGUAGGAAUAAUAUGUAGGGGAGAGCCGGGUCGAUUGAAACACUUUUCAGUUAAACGUCUUUUUCAAAGAUGAUGUUACGUAUACAAAUAAUUUUAACAUGUGCUCAACAACUCACAUGUGGGUUCUCUUAGUUACAAGUGAAAUUUAAUACAUAUGUUGGAUGAUCGAGCUGUUUUUUAACUUGUUUAAAAUGCCCCGCCUAUUCGGGACGUUUGAAACAAACAUGCGGGACGAAUGAAACAGCAUAUUUUAAAAAUAAUCUAUUGCCCUUAUUCUUGUUUUUAUGCAACAUACCAGACAACAUACUAGUGUACUCGUCAUUGCUAAAAUUUCACAUAAUUCCGCAUAAUAUAAAUAGGUCAAAAUAUAUUUUUGGCCCGUGCGUAAUUGUCAAGAUUUACAUUUCGAUUAAAACUCACGUUUCUUCUUUUGGACGACUAAAUUUGCAUCAGGAGCGGGCGAGAAGAGCCUCUUCUUGGGAGCCCGAGAGGAGGGAGGCUGCUUGACGGGACGAUGCUGCUUCAGAGUUUGGGGUGUCGCCCGGCCUUAGGGUAAGACCGGAAGAUGUCCAGGCUGAAUUCGAGGGCAUCUUCCUCAGGCCAGACAGCUUCGUCAGGCCCGGCAGCUCGUCCAGUGGCACCUGGAGAAGCGCUGACCUCGUCACCUGAAGCCUGGGGAGGAGGACGGUCUGUGGAAUAGGAUCCGGUGAAGUCCUUUUCCUCAAACACGGAGGGUUUAAAAGGCCAGAUCCCUUGACUAGAGAACCCGGAGGUAAUGUCCUUCACUGUUGCAGCCUCCGGAAAGGCUUCAGCAACGAUGGAGGGCACAUCAUAAAUCAAGAUGUUGAUCCCUUGGUGGCUCCUCAUCCACCUGUCCGCCGCACUGUUUACGUACCCCUUUAGGGGGCCGAAGACACUAAUGUCCAUUGGCUGCGACCUGCGGGUGCAGUGGGGAGGGAAAGACAGCAGCACUAUGCCGUUGGCUCUGCAUUAAUCGAUUGCUGCAAUUGACAGGUGGGACGGGUGAUUGUCCAGCAGGACGGAGCAGCUUUGACUCCUUGGACACGGGUGUGACUGGUGAAGUGGGCCAGGUACAGGAGGAAGUCUGGCUCCUUCCUCCAGCCAGUUGGGUUGGCGGUGCCAGCACAGCCAACGGGUCCACCCCUCAGGAAGUGGUCUUCGAACCGCUCACGGGGGAAGAUAAAGAAUGGCGGAACAAGGUUGCCCUGCGCAUUGCAUGCACCUGGACAGUGGUGACCCCUGUAAAUAGUUGUGUGAGCAUAGUUGUAUGUAUAUAUUUAUGUGUAUAUAGUUGAUUUUAUAUGUAUAUAGUUGUUAGCAUCGUUUCUAUUUAGAUAUCUAGUUACGUGUAUGUAGCGCCCCCUAGCGUGUCUAGCUUUUAGUGUGGAGUGCGCUCCCGAUUUCUUCUAAUGGCGAGAGAUCUCUCUCUC